CGGGACGUAGCACAGCUUGGUAGUGCGCUACCUUGGGGUGGUAGAGGUCGUGAGUUCGAAUCUCAUCGUUCCGACCA
rnacentral:tRNA from 5 species